UGGUGUAGCUCAAGAUGGAACCACGAU
rnacentral:piRNA from 1 species